GUUCCCCUUUCCCAUUUGGGUCAUUCUGUUUCGAUAAGGCCGAGGGAGAGAGCCCGGGCGGCGGAGGCGACGCGAUUCCAUGGCGAUUCUGAUCUUCCCCUCUCCUCGUGCUUGAUUUUUCCUCCGUGUUCCUUCGAUCCCGGCUCCCGUGGAACAUCUCAAUGUCAUCUUCAUCAUAAAUGCAUCUUCUUCAUCAAGGGAGGCUUUGCUUUCAGGCCUGCCUCCCACGGAUUAACUUGCGCUUGCGCAUCUUCGCCUGUCGACUGUUGCCAAUUCUGCAUCUGUUGUGUGGACAUAAUGAGAGGAGUUGAAGAUUUUCAUGUACAUGUUGUUUUCCUCUGGAUUGAUAUUGCUGUGUAGCACAAGUGACUGCUUCUGUUCUACCUCUAGGUGCCAGAAGGAAAGGAGGACAACUGGGAGGGACCGGUUCAACCUUUUGUUUGUUUUUGGUUGACCCGUUUUCAACCUGACCCGUUUUCAACAGACAACUGUCAACAGUUCAUUGGAUGGAAAAAAUGACUGACAUCUAAUUACAAAUCAGUCGAAUUACAAAUAGACACUCCCUUCUUUUUUUUUUGAGGGGAAAAAGUGAAAACUAUUUAAUUCUUCCUUUAGCGAGUUGAUACGGACAUUGUUUUUUUUCUUUUGCGAAGUCAUAUGGACAUUGUUGAGAGGAGGAGGAGGAGGCCUGCAGAGACCGAGCGCCGUGCGCGCUGACGCCCAUGCCCAUGCACAUGCAUGCGCGCGCGCAAAUGUCGGAUCGGCCGGCCUCGAUGGAUGACACACGUGGUGUGUGUUGGCCAUGCACAUGCAUAGAUACUACAUGCAUCAUCUCUCCCCUGCACCGGCCGGUCUCAUCCACUCUUCCUUUCCAGCCACUCCUCUAUAAAUACCAGACGUACGCACUGGCGGCAUAUCUAUCUCAAUCAGCUUGAAGCCAAUUGGUACACACACACGACACACAUACACAUAUAGGCCAUGGGUUCGAAGCGCAGCGCUGCUGUGUGGUGUUUAGUCCUGCUCCUCGUGCUCGUCGCCGUGACGGCGGCUGAGGGGAGGUCCAUCGGAGAGUGCCAAACCGAAUGCUUUGGCUCCCCCCGCUACACGCAGUGCCUGUAUAUGUGCAGACUUCGCCUCGCGCUUCGAGGAACAUAUCAAGAAGCAGCAGCGGCACUAGGAGGGAGGUGCCGUUGGCCCAACUGCCGUUAGAUGGCAAGAGGGUGUUUCUUCUUCCUCGUUCUCUCCGUCCCCUCCCCUUCAUCCCAACCUCCUGUCUCAGAUCCGCCUCCCUCGGACCCUUCUCUCCUCCUCCGCCCUCGCCGGCGGUGAGCGGGGAGGGGCCCUUCCUCCUGUCUCAGAUCCACCACGAGAACUAGUACGUAGUUCCUUCAUGUAGUGGCUUUGGACAUUCUGUCUCUUCGUUUCCGGAGAAGUCAGGGGGCGAGGAGGCGCUCCUGGCUUGGCUUUUCCUUCCUUCUCGUGGUGGUCGCUGUCUGCCUCGCUGACGGCAGUGAUGAGGUGUGUCUCGUGGCCGCUCCGUCAAAUAACCUCCAGAUCUGUCCGGGUCCGUGCUCUUCCACUCCUCUCGCUGGGAGUCGGAGAAGAUAUCCAUGCCUGCAGGUCCUUUAGCUAGGUUUUCUGUUCCAAUGAUCACCCCAGCUAUCUUUGUAUCUCUUGUUGGCCUAGGCUUCUUCUUUCAUUUGCUACUUGUGCCUGUGAGUCAAGAGCGGUGUCCCUUAUGGACCAAUUUGUAAUCACUUCUUCUACAUGGUUGCUUAUGUAAUUUCAAACUUUUUUUUAUCCCA